GACGAACGCUGGCGGCGUGCUUAACACAUGCAAGUCGAACGCUGAAGCUCAGCUUUUGUUGGGUGGAUGAGUGGCGAACGGGUGAGUAACACGUGAGUAACCUGCCCCCUUCUUUGGGAUAACGCCCGGAAACGGGUGCUAAUACUGGAUAUUCACUGGUCUUCGCAUGGGGGUUGGUGGAAAGGGUUUUUCUGGUGGGGGAUGGGCUCGCGGCCUAUCAGCUUGUUGGUGGGGUGAUGGCCUACCAAGGCUUUGACGGGUAGCCGGCCUGAGAGGGUGACCGGUCACAGUGGGACUGAGAUACGGCCAAGACUCCUACGGGAGGCAGCAGUGGGGAAUAUUGCACAAUGGGCGCAAGCCUGAUGCAGCGACGCCGCGUGAGGGAUGGAGGCCUUCGGGUUGUGAACCUCUUUCGCUCAUGGUCAAGCCGCAACAAUGGUUGUGGUGAGGGUAGUGGGUAAAGAAGCGCCGGCUAACUACGUG
rnacentral:rRNA from 1 species